ACAGGGAUUGCCCCAGUAACGGCGAGUGAAGCGGCAACAGCUCAAAUUUGAAAUCUGGUCCCUAGGGCCCGAGUUGUAAUUUGUAGAGGAUGCUUUUGGUGAGGUGCCGCCCGAGUUCCCUGGAACGGGACGCCACAGAGGGUGAGAGCCCCGUCUGGCUGGCCGCCGAGCCUCUGUAAAGCUCCUUCGACGAGUCGAGUAGUUUGGGAAUGCUGCUCAAAAUGGGAGGUAUAUGUCUUCUAAAGCUAAAUAUUGGCCAGAGACCGAUAGCGCACAAGUAGAGUGAUCGAAAGAUGAAAAGCACCUUGAAAAGAGGGUUAAAUAGUACGUGAAAUUGUUGAAAGGGAAGCGCUUGUGACCAGACUUGGGCGCGGCGGAUCAUCCGGGGUUCUCUCCGGUGCACUUCGCCGCGUCUAGGCCAGCAUCAGUUCGUCGCGGGGGAAAAAGGCUUCGGGAACGUGGCUCCUCCGGGAGUGUUAUAGCCCGUUGCAUAAUACCCUGCGGUGGACUGAGGACCGCGCAUCUGCAAGGAUGCUGGCGUAAUGGUCACCAGCGACCCGUCUUGAAACACGGACCAAGGAGUCGUCUUCGUAUGCGAGUGUUCGGGUGUCAAACCCCUACGCGUAAUGAAAGUGAACGCAGGUGAGAGCUUCGGCGCAUCAUCGACCGAUCCUGAUGUUCUCGGAUGGAUUUGAGUAAGAGCAUACGGGGCCGGACCCGAAAGAAGGUGAACUAUGCCUGUAUAGGGUGAAGCCAGAGGAAACUCUGGUGGAGGCUCGCAGCGGUUCUGACGUGCAAAUCGAUCGUCAAAUAUGGGCAUGGGGGCGAAAGACUAAUCGAACCUUCUAGUAGCUGGUUUCCG
rnacentral:rRNA from 1 species